UGGCACGGGCAGGGCGGUGCUGCCGGCCGGGAGUGUCCCGCCGUGAGGGGAGCGGCUCCUUGGCCACGGUGGCCGACCCUCCGGUGACAGCCCUCCCUCCACGGGCAAGCGCCAGUGAGACUCCCCCGCCCCGUGCCGGGUGCGGGCAGCGCUGAGGACCCCGUUGAUCUCCCUGGCACAGACAGGGGUGUUGGAGCUCCUCAGUUCGGUAUCGGACUCAAACAGGGCGCUCUGAAGCAGCGGCUCCUUCCAGAGCAGCACAUCCAGCACCGUCAUCAGCUUCUGCCUUCGAGUAUUUCUCCGUCCACCGCUUUCCUAAAGGAAAAAAAGCAUAGUUAGUACCUUGCUUUUGCUAGGUUGGACUGAGCUUUUGUAGUGAAGACAAGGUCUUACAGAAGAAAGCCAGGUUUCUAAUGGGCCUUUGGUGUGUAGAGAGUUCAUUUUCAGCCGGGUACCCAAGAAUGCUCUCUUAAAUAGCUACUUUUAUGUAUAUCCACUGUAGAGGAAUUAAGUUGCUGAACAUUACUUUUAUUCCAGUGCUUCAGGCAAUCAGAGAUGCUGGGCUCAAGCCCAAACCUUGAACUUUAUUUUAUAUUCUAAAGAAAAUUAGUAUGAAAGACAGGUUUGAUGUAUUUGCUGGAGCUGAUACCAUUAAGAAGUGAUGCAAGGCUCUUUUACUGCUGUAUGAAUGAGUACUGCCACAAAUAAUGACCAACAGUGCAAGUGUCAUAACUUAUCCUGUACACACAUAUUGAAGACAUUGUUGUCACCAACUCA